ACCAACAGGGAUUGCCCUAGUAACGGCGAGUGAAGCGGCAACAGCUCAAAUUUGAAAUCUGGCUCUUUCAGAGUCCGAGUUGUAAUUUGCAGAGGGCGCUUUGGCUUUGGCAGCGGUCCAAGUUCCUUGGAACAGGACGUCACAGAGGGUGAGAAUCCCGUACGUGGUCGCUAGCUAUUGCCGUGUAAAGCCCCUUCGACGAGUCGAGUUGUUUGGGAAUGCAGCUCUAAAUGGGAGGUAAAUUUCUUCUAAAGCUAAAUAUUGGCCAGAGACCGAUAGCGCACAAGUAGAGUGAUCGAAAGAUGAAAAGCACUUUGGAAAGAGAGUCAAACAGCACGUGAAAUUGUUGAAAGGGAAGCGCUUGCAGCCAGACUUGCUUGCAGUUGCUCAUCCGGGCUUUUGCCCGGUGCACUCUUCUGCAGGCAGGCCAGCAUCAGUUUGGGCGGUGGGAUAAAGGUCUCUGUCACGUACCUCUCUUCGGGGAGGACUUAUAGGGGAGGCGACAUACCACCAGCCUGGACUGAGGUCCGCGCAUCUGCUAGGAUGCUGGCGUAAUGGCUGUAAGCGGCCCGUCUUGAAACACGGACCAAGGAGUCUAACAUCUAUGCGAGUGUUUGGGUGUCAAGCCCGAGCGCGUAAUGAAAGUGAACGGAGGUGGGAACCCGCAAGGGCGCACCAUCGACCGAUCCUGAAGUUUACGGAAGGAUUUGAGUAAGAGCAUGGCUGUUGGGACCCGAAAGAUGGUGAACUAUGCUUGAAUAGGGUGAAGCCAGAGGAAACUCUGGUGGAGGCUCGCAGCGGUUCUGACGUGCAAAUCGAUCGUCAAAUUUGGGCAUAGGG
rnacentral:rRNA from 1 species